rnacentral:tRNA from 1 species
GCCGAAGUGGCGGAAUGGCAGACGCAGAGGACUCAAAAUCCUCCAUGGGCAACCAUGUGUGGGUUCGACUCCCACCUUCGGCACCA